rnacentral:rRNA from 1 species
UACGUAGGGCGCGAGCGUUGUCCGGAAUUAUUGGGCGUAAAGAGCUCGUAGGUGGCUUGUUGCGUCUGCCGUGAAAGCCCGUGGCUUAACUACGGGUCUGCGGUGGAUACGGGCAGGCUAGAGGCUGGUAGGGGCAAGCGGAAUUCCUGGUGUAGCGGUGAAAUGCGCAGAUAUCAGGAGGAACACCUGAGGUGAGGACGGGUUGCUGGGCCGACACUGACGCUGAGUGCGCGAAAGCCAGGGGAGCAAACGGG